rnacentral:rRNA from 1 species
UACGAAGGGGGGCUAGCGUUGCUCGGAAUCACUGGGCGUAAAGGGUGCGUAGGCGGGUCUUUUAAGUCAGGGGUGAAAUCCUGGAGCUCAACUCCAGAACUGCCUUUGAUACUGGCAACCUAGAGGCUGGAAGAGGUUAGUGGAAUUCCCAGUGUAGAGGUGAAAUUCGUAGAUAUUGGGAAGAACACCAGUGGCGAAGGCGGCUAACUGGUCCAGAUCUGACGCUGAGGUGCGAAAGCGUGGGGAGCAAACAGG